rnacentral:rRNA from 1 species
UAAUACAGAGAGUGCAAACGUUGUUCGGAAUUACUGGGCUUAAAGCGCACGUAGGCGGCAUUGUUAGUGUUGGGUGAAAUCCCACGGCUCACCCGUGGAACUGCCCAGCAAACUGCAGUGCUAGAGUAUGGUAGGGGAGAGCGGAACUCAUGGUGGAGCGGUGAAAUGCGUAGAUAUCAUGAGGAACACCGGUGGCGAAGGCGGCUCUCUGGUCCAUAACUGACGCUGAGGUGCGAAAGCUAGGGUAGCGAACGGGAUUAGAUACCCCGGUAGUCCUAGCCGUAAACGAUAGGUACUAGCUUGGGGUCUCCCUGUGUGAUCCCAGGUGAAGCUAAAGUAAUAAGUACCCCGCCUGGGGAGUAUGGUCGCAAGGCUG